UACGAAGGGGGCUAGCGUUGUUCGGAAUUACUGGGCGUAAAGCGCGCGUAGGCGGUGAUCUUUGUCAGAGGUGAAAGCCCGGGGCUCAACUCCGGAAUUGCCUUUGAAACGGGAUCGCUUGAGUCCGAGAGAGGAUGGCGGAAUUCCUAGUGUAGAGGUGAAAUUCGUAGAUAUUAGGAAGAACACCGGUGGCGAAGGCGGCCAUCUGGCUCGGUACUGACGCUCAGGCGCGAAAGCGUGGGGAGCGAACAGG
rnacentral:rRNA from 1 species